rnacentral:rRNA from 1 species
UUAUCAUGGCUCAGAUUGAACGCUGGCGGCAUGCCUAACACAUGCAAGUCGAACGGUAACAGCAGAAGCUUGCUUCUGGCUGACGAGUGGCGGCGGACGGGUGAGUAAAGCGUAGGAAUCUACCUAGUAGUGGGGGAUAGCCCAGAGAAAUUUGGAUUAAUACCGCAUACGCCCUACGGGGGAAAGGAGGGGAUCUUAGGACCUUUCGCUAUUAGAUGAGCCUGCGUGAGAUUAGCUAGUUGGUGGGGUAAAGGCUCACCAAGGCAACGAUCUCUAGCUGGUCUGAGAGGAUGAUCAGCCACACUGGGACCGAGACACGGCCCAGACUCCUACGGGAGGCAGCAGUGGGGAAUAUUGGACAAUGGGGGCAACCCUGAUCCAGCCAUGCCGCGUGUGUGAAGAAGGCCUUCGGGUUGUAAAGCACUUUCAGCGAGGAGGAAGGGGUGUUGCUUAAUAGUGACAUUCUUGACGUUGCUCGCAGAAGAAGGACCGGCUAACUCCGUGCCAGCAGCCGCGGUAAUACGGAGGGUCCGAGCGUUAAUCGGAAUUACUGGGCGUAAAGCGCGCGUAGGCGGUUAGAUCAGUCAGAUGUGAAAGCCCAGGUCUCAACCUGGGAACUGCGUCUGAUACUGUCUAACUAGAGUUUGGUAGAGGAGUGUGGAAUUUCCUGUGUAGCGGUGAAAAGCGUAGAUAUAGGAAGGAACACCAGUGGCGAAGGCGACACUCUGGACCAAAACUGACGCUGAGGUGCGAAAGCGUGGGGAGCAAACAGGAUUAGAUCCCCUGGUAGUCCACGCCGUAAACGAUGUCUACUAGCCGUUGGGAGACUUGAUCUCUUAGGUGGCGCAGCUAACGCGAUAAGUUGACCGCCUGGGGAGUACGGCCGCAAGGCUAAAACUCAAAUGAAUUGACGGGGGCCCGCACAAGCGGUGGAGCAUGUUGUUUAAUUCGAUGCAACGCGAAGAACCUUACCAUCCCUCGACAUCCUAGGAACUUGGUAGAGAUACCUUGGUGCCUUCGGGAACCUAGUGACAGGUGCUGCAUGGCUGUCGUCAGCUCGUGUCGUGAGAUGUUGGGUUAAGUCCCGUAACGAGCGCAACCCUUACCCUUAUUUGCCAGCGAGUAAUGUCGGGAACUCUAAGGAGACUGCCGGUGACAAACCGGAGGAAGGUGGGGACGACGUCAAGUCAUCAUGGCCCUUACGGGAUGGGCUACACACGUGCUACAAUGGGCAGUACAGAGGGUUGCGAGCUAGCAAUAGUUAGCGGAUCCCUUAAAGCUGUUCGUAGUCCGGAUUGGGGUCUGCAACUCGACCCCAUGAAGUCGGAAUCGCUAGUAAUCGCGGAUCAGAAUGCCGCGGUGAAUACGUUCCCGGGCCUUGUACACACCGCCCGUCACACCAUGGGAGUGGGCUGCACCAGAAGUCAUUAGCUUAACCUUCGGGAGGGCGAUGACCACGGUGUGGUUCAUGACUGGGGUGAAGUC